UACGAAGGGGGCUAGCGUUGCUCGGAAUCACUGGGCGUAAAGCGCACGUAGGCGGAGUGUUAAGUCAGGGGUGAAAUCCUGGAGCUCAACUCCAGAACUGCCUUUGAUACUGGCGAUCUUGAGUCCGGGAGAGGUGAGUGGAACUGCGAGUGUAGAGGUGAAAUUCGUAGAUAUUCGCAAGAACACCAGUGGCGAAGGCGGCUCACUGGCCCGGUACUGACGCUGAGGUGCGAAAGCGUGGGGAGCAAACAGG
rnacentral:rRNA from 1 species